rnacentral:rRNA from 1 species
UACGUAGGGACCGAGCGUUGUCCGGAAUCAUUGGGCGUAAAGAGCGUGUAGGCGGCCACUUAAGUCCUGCGUGAAAUCUUGCGGCUCAACCGCAAGCGGUCGUGGGAAACUGGGUGGUUAGAGUGCGGGAGAGGAGAGUGGAAUUCCUGGUGUAGCGGUGGAAUGCGCAGAUAGUCAGGAAGAACACCCGUGGCGAAGGCGGCUCUCUGGAACGCAACUGACGCUGAGGCACGAAAGCGUGGGGAUCAAACAGG